GAUGAACGCUAGCGGCAGGCUUAAUACAUGCAAGUCGAGGGACAGCACAGGUAGCAAUACUGGGUGGUAACCGGCAAACGGGUGCGGAACACGUACACAACCUUCCUUUAAGUGGGGGAUAGCCCAGAGAAAUUUGGAUUAAUACCCCGUAAUAUAGUUGAAUGGCAUCAUUUGAUUAUUAUAGCUACGGCGCUUAAUGAUGGGUGUGCGGCUGAUUAGAUAGUUGGCGGGGUAACGGCCCACCAAGUCUACGAUCAGUAGCUGAUGUGAGAGCUUGAUCGGCAACACGGGCACUGGUGCACGGGCCCGACGGCUACGGGAGGCAGCAGUGAGGAAUAUUGGUCAAUGGACUCAAGUCUGAACCAGCCAUGACGAGUGAAGGAUUAAGGUCCUCGGGAUUGUAGACUUCUUUUAUUUGGGACGAAAAAGGGCCUUUCUAGGUCAACUGACGGUACCAGAUGAAUAAGCACCGGCUAACUCCGUGCCAGCCGCCGCCGUAAGAC
rnacentral:rRNA from 1 species